GACGAACGCUGGCGGCGUGCUUAACACAUGCAAGUCGAACGAUGAAACCUAGCUUGCUAGGUCGAUUAGUGGCGAACGGGUGAGUAACACGUGACUAACCUGCCCCUUUCUCUGGGAUAACGCUCCGAAAGGAGUGCUAAUACCGGAUACUCACACUGAGGCACAUGCCUUGGUGUGGAAAGUUUUUCGGAAAGGGAUGGAGUCGCGGCCUAGCAGCUUGUUGGUGAGGUAACGGCUCACCAAGGCGACGACGGGUAGCCGGCCUGAGAGGGCGACCGGCCACACUGGGACGGAGACACGGCCCAGACUCCUACGGGAGGCAGCAGUGGGGAAUAUUGCACAAUGGGCGCAAGCCUGAUGCAGCGACGCCGCGUGAGGGAUGAAGGUCUUCGGAUUGUAAACCUCUUUCAGUAGGGACGAAGCGAAAGUGACGGUACCUAAAGAAGAAGCACCGGCUAACUACGUGCCAGCCGCCGCCGUAA
rnacentral:rRNA from 1 species